rnacentral:rRNA from 1 species
UACGUAGGGUGCAAGCGUUGUCCGGAAUUAUUGGGCGUAAAGGGCGCGUAGGCGGCGACUCUAGUCAGAUGUGAAAGUCCUGGGCUUAACCUGGGGACUGCAUUUGAUACUGGGUUGCUUGAAUUCGGGAGAGGAUAGCGGAAUUCCCAGUGUAGAGGUGAAAUUCGUAGAUAUUGGGAAGAACACCGGUGGCGAAGGCGGCUAUCUGGACCGACAUUGACGCUGAGGCGCGAAAGCGUGGGGAGCAAACAGG